rnacentral:rRNA from 1 species
UACAGAGGGUGCAAGCGUUAAUCGGAAUUACUGGGCGUAAAGCGUGCGUAGACGGUUAUAUAAGUCGGGUGUGAAAGCCCCGGGCUCAACCUGGGAAUUGCAUUCGAGACUGCAUAGCUAGGGUGCGGAAGAGGGAAGCGGAAUUUCCGGUGUAGCGGUGAAAUGCGUAGAUAUCGGAAGGAACACCAGUGGCGAAAGCGGCUUCCUGGUCCAGCACCGACGUUCAGGCACGAAAGCGUGGGGAGCAAACAGG